ensembl:lncRNA
UUGCGUUCAUUAAGCAAGUGUCAAGUGUUAGAAAUGUCUGCUUUGGAACUAUAUUAAGACAAACAUGGGAAACACUUGCUUUAUUUUUGUUAUAUUUGUUAUAUUUUUGUCCUAACUUUUAUCCUGCUUUUUUUGUAGCUCAACAGCCACUGGGCAACUGUUUGCAGUGUGAAUAUUGUUGAAAAUAUCUUCAUUUGUGCUCCAUGGAUGAAAUGGAAAGCUAAGCUAAGCCGACAAGUUUGACACAUGGCUGACUCUCCAUAGUAAUCCACUGGACGUCCGUUUUAACAUGAUGGGGCAGUCGUGUAUGGGUUUACUGGGACUUAUUGAUUUUAAACAUGCCCCAUUUAAGAUGGACUGCCAAUACAAACCAAACACUCCAGCCAAGAAAGGAGUGCUGUUUAACAUUCAGCCCACGAGUGCAUGUAUAAUUAACUCCUGGGUAAAAAUGCCCUCAGGAGAGUAGCUGUGGAGUCUCGACACAAGGCUUCACUCAUCUCAGAGUGUGUGUGUGCGUCCGUGCGAAUGUAUGGAGACUUUACAGAAUACCACGCUAGUGUAAGUGAAUUAACGUAAAUGAAUUAGCCAAUUAAACGCAAUAACAUGGCCCAACAGGGAGUUUCAUAUUGCAGACCAGCAGCAUUAGACAACCUUAUGAAAAUGAGCAAACCACAUUUCCCCUGCAGUUAGGAUCAUUAAAUCCAAGAUUGUAAAAUCUGUUUUGCAUGACUUUCGUCAAGCUAUUGCACCAAAUUGUACAUUUUCAAACUUUUUUUCCUCAUAAUUGUGGCUUUAAAUCUUACAAUUUUGUCUGUGUCUCAAAGUUUAUAUGUCCCAAUAUGUCUAAUUG